AAUCCAUGUUGUGGACACUUUUGUAAAAGGUCUUUGAAAUGCUCCAAUGUCUCAAACAAGGACUCGAGCUCCAUCUGAAUAAACGAUGAAAUCUCAUUCCGAAGCUU